AUUGAAAUCGGCUAUGAUAGCU
rnacentral:miRNA from 1 species